CCUCAUUUAUUAAGGGGGUGCCGACCAGGGCUUUGGGGAGAGCCCGCGGUUUUUCCCGCGCGGUCAACGCCCCCACUGCUGCUUUUCCGCCCCUUCCCCUCAGUACGGCCGCCGCGCCCUUCGCUCUCCGGGGCGGCCCUGAUGGGGCCCGCCAUCUUGGAAGGCCUUUCCUGCUGAAUUCAUCUCUUUGAAGAAAUGUCGCUCGAGUCACUGGCCUACGAGUCGUGACUUUUGCCCCUUCCCCUUCCUCCUUGGGCUAAGCCAGACCAGCAAAGGCUGUGUGCGCAACGUGCUUUAGGAUCCCUCGGGGAAAGAGGCUAACGUGGCGUUCCUCCUCCUCCCCCUCUUCUUUCCCCGCGGGGGCGGCCGCCAUGUUUUCUGAACACAAAAUGGCGACACGUGGCCUGGAUUCGUCGCCAACGAGAAAUUGGGAGGAAGACAUUUAAACCUAGAGAGAUGAAGUGACUAAAUCAAGGUCACACAGUGUCGGGGAUGGAGUCCAGACCUUCUGAUUUCCUUACUGACUUGCAUUAUCUUGUGGAUACCUGAAUGAAUUCCAUACGACCCAUUUUAUAGAUGAAGCCACUGAGAUGUGGAACAACUGACUGAAUAGUCACCGCCCCACCCCUGGAGCCUCACACAUGACUCUUCUCUUUCCUCUCGGUGACCACAGGUUGAUUAAGGGGUUUAAUGAGGUUGAGAAGGUACUUAUCCCUAUAUUACAUGAGGGGAAUGAAAUACUAGAACCCUACCCCAUGCUACUCAGUGAGCUCUGGUAGCAAGAGCUGUCUGGUAUGUGACUGCGUGAGGUGUGAGGCUCAGCAGGCUCUGAUAUGGACUAAUUGAUGGUGAAUCAGCUGUUGGAUAAAAGAAAGGAGGCCCGGAGAGGUCAAAUACUUUCAGGUCUGCUGCUCUGCCGGCUGUGCUCUCACUCCAUAGCUCCUGCUGUUGCUGCUGUUGGCUCUUCACCUUCACCAUGGCCAUCAGUUUUUGGCAGUGCUGGAGCUGAGCUGCCAGAAUGGCUCCUUUCUCGACCACACAAGGCCACAGCCUUUCUCAAAUCUUUGCCCUCAUCAUGCUGCAAAGCAGAAACUCCUCUCAGGAGGCUUUUGGCUAGAGCCUGACCAUUUCACUAGCUCAGUUGCCAAGCCUGCAGAAUGUAACCCUCAUGCUGCUGGGGCCGUCCUGCCACCCCAAGGAGAACACUGCCUGAGAGGGAGGCCAGCACAGGUGAAAGCUGAGCUGUGACAUGAAAGAGAUGGAGACCAGAUGACAUCUUUUGAGCACCUAUAUCUAACCAUGUCUUAAGCUCAUCUAGCCUGGACAUUUCAUUUACAUGGGCCCAGCCCUUCUUUUUUUUUUUUUUUUUUCCUUUUAAAAGUUUGAUUUGGAAUUCUGUCACCUGUAGCCAAAAGAGUCUUAACUAAUCAGUGCCAUCAAUUGUAUAUAGCUCUCGUAACAAAGUAUGUUGUGGCUCAGUCUUUUUUCACUGGGUCUUUUUGUCUUAAAGUACUGAAUUAUAAGUUUAUUAUAAGAACCAAAUGAGACCAUACAUCUAAGAAAUGUAGCAUUAUUCUCCACAUAGAAAAAAACCCAGUAAAUAGUAACUCCAAGAAGCAAGGCAGAAACGGGGGGAGGAAGAAGGGGUACUGAAUUAAAAGAACCCCUGAAGUCCUAGAGUAAUCUUCUAGGAACCCUCAAACCCAAUCCAGUCUCCUACUGUAAAUGCCCCAGUGCCCUGUGCUUUCACCUCAUAACCCUUCAUUGUGGUUGUGAUAUGUUUAUGUGAUAUUUUGAUUAAUGCCUGUCUUCCUCAUGGACUUGGCAGGGCUGUGAGGGCAUGGUUUUGCUCACUGUUACGUACCAGCACCUAGUCCAUUGUGGCAUUUAGCACAUGUUUAUUGAAUAAAUUGUUACUUAUAGUUAUUUA